CUAUCACGAAAUUGUUCUCGAUUUGUCACGUGCAAAUGAGUAAGCCAAACUAAACUUAACUAAACUAAACUAAACACUCAUCCUAGACGUCCAUGUAGAUUCUCAUUCAUCCAGGUCAUGGUUUUCUUGAAGACUAAAAAACAGGCAAUUGGACUGUGUAGAGUUGAGAAGACGUUUCGCCUCUUAUCCAAGAAGCUUCUUCAGUUCUAAAUGUUGCUCGUGUGAGGAGCAGAUAUUUAUCUUACUGGAGAAGAGGACAGACCACGACUGGGAGGAUUUUUCCACAUUUUCCAUACCAAAUAGUGAGUUUGACAUGCAGGUAAGACAUGUAGAAUUAAAAAGUGAUGAGAUUAUUCAUGAGGAAAUGUGUUUUCAUGAACAGUAGCGCCUUUAAAAAAGAGAUUAAUCGUCCUUCUUUGUCCACAGGGGUCAUUCUCCUCAUUUCGAGGGGCUGUGAAGUGUCCCACUGUAAGUUGAGUGUGCAUUUUUAUUUCAGCUGGGACAGACCUGAGGAAGAG